rnacentral:rRNA from 1 species
UGGGGAAUUUUGGACAAUGGGCGAAAGCCUGAUCCAGCAAUGCCGCGUGUGUGAAGAAGGCCUUCGGGUUGUAAAGCACUUUUGUCCGGAAAGAAAUGGCUCUGGUUAAUACCUGGGGUCGAUGACGGUACCGGAAGAAUAAGGACCGGCUAACUACGUGCCAGCAGCCGCGGUAAUACGUAGGGUCCAAGCGUUAAUCGGAAUUACUGGGCGUAAAGCGUGCGCAGGCGGUUGUGCAAGACCGAUGUGAAAUCCCCGAGCUUAACUUGGGAAUUGCAUUGGUGACUGCACGGCUAGAGUGUGUCAGAGGGGGGUAGAAUUCCACGUGUAGCAGUGAAAUGCGUAGAGAUGUGGAGGAAUACCGAUGGCGAAGGCAGCCCCCUGGGAUAACACUGACGCUCAUGCACGAAAGCGUGGGGAGCAAACAGGAUUAGAUACCCUGGUAGUCCACGCCCUAAACGAUGUCAACUAGUUGUUGGGAUUCAUUUCCUUAGUAACGUAGCUAACGCGUGAAGUUGACCGCCUGGGGAGUACGGUCGCAAGAUU